UACGUAGGGUGCGAGCGUUUGUCCGGAAUUAUUGGGCGUAAAGAGCUCGUAGGCGGUCUGUCGCGUCGAUCGUGAAAACUUGGGGCUUAACCCUGAGCUUGCGGUCGAUACGGGCAUGACUGGAGUUCGGCAGGGGAGACUUGGAAUUCCUGGUGUAGCGGUGAAAUGCGCAGAUAUCAGGAGGAACACCGAUGGCGAAGGCAGGUCUCUGGGCCAUAACUGACGCUGAGAAGCGAAAGCAUGGGGAGCGAACAGG
rnacentral:rRNA from 1 species